rnacentral:lncRNA from 1 species
GGGAUUUUCAACACUUCGGACAAUAACUCAAAAAGGCUUUCACCAAUGUCCAUGAAACUUUGUUGAAUUGUUUAUAUCUAUUGAUGUAAGCUCCCUUUCAAUUUUCAUAAAUUUCAGAUAUUAAGUUUUGGAUUUAUGGGGCUUUAUUCAUAAAAAAAAGGGGAUUUUCAACACUUCGGACAAUAACUCAAAAAGGCUUUCACCAAUGUCCAUGAAACUUUAGUGAAUUGUUUAUAUCUAUUGGUGUAAGCUCCCUUUCAAUUUUUAUAAAUUUCAGAUUUUAAGUUUUGGAUUUAUGGGGCUUUAUUCAUAAAAAAGGGGGAUUGUUAACACUUCGGAUAAUAACUCAAAAGGCUUUCACCAAUGUCCAUGAAACUUUGGUGAAUUGUUUAUAUCUAUUGAUGUAAGCUCCCUUUCAAUUUUUAUAAAUUUCAGAUUUUAAGUUUUGGAUUUAUGGGGCUUUAUUCAUAAAAAAAGGGGGAUUUU